rnacentral:rRNA from 1 species
UACGUAGGCAGCGAGCGUUGUUCGGAGUUACUGGGCGUAAAGCGUGCGUAGGCGGUGGACCAAGUCUGGUGUGAAAUCUCCCGGCUUAACCGGGAGGGUGCGCCGGAAACUGGUUCGCUGGAGUGCGGGAGAGGCAAGCGGAAUUCCUGGUGUAGCGGUGAAAUGCGUAGAUAUCAGGAGGAACACCGGCGGUGUAGACGGCUUUCUGGACCGUAGCUGACGCUGAGACACGAAAGCGUGGGUAGCAAACAGG